rnacentral:lncRNA from 1 species
GUAGGAUAUGUGCAAAGAGCACUGCUGGUGACAAAAAUGUAUCCUCACAGUAAGCCCUGCAGAGAUUUAAAGCUGAAGUCAUAUUCAGAGGAACUGUGGUUUCCCCAGUGCAGAAGAAACUGCUGUCCUGCAAAGGAAAUUCACAUAAGUGAGCAAACUGAGCAAAGACCAGAAGAAACAAAGACCUCUCUCUCAGCAGUUACUAGUGACCCUAAAACCAGAAAAAGUCAUAUACAUUUCCACUCUGGACUCCAUGCUGAUAAUCCUGUGUGGAUUCAACCAUCUUACCGUGUGGGAGAGAGAAAUCCACUCUGCUUUAUCCAAUAGCUCAUUGGAAGGAAUUUUAACGAUGAAGAGAUGUGAGGUCUACUUUUAAAAACUCACUAUCCUUGCAAGUUACUUUACUAUUUCCCUUGAUACCAUCACAUCUCUUGAAAAUUUUAAAAGCAGAACAAUAAGGGCUCAUUUUCCUCUCUUCUUACUAAUAAGUUGGGUUUUGUUUUGUUUUGUUUUGUUUUUUUUUUCCUAUCAGCUCAUUCCUUCAGCCUGUAGAUGGAUACUAGCAUGACCUCACAUAUGAGUAACUCCUCACAGUUUUGAAUCCUCUGCAAAACUGAGGAGGGUACUCUCUGCUUCAUCAUUCAGAUCAUUAACAAAGAUGUGUGACAGGACUUGACCCAGUUCUGACCUCUGAGGAUCUCUGCUCGUUACUGGCUUCCCGAUAAACUUUAUACCACUGAUCACCUCUAUCUGGACCUUUCAACUAGUUUUCAGUCUUCUUCACUGUCUGCUCUUCUAGCCCAUACUUCAACAGUUUUUUUGUAAGAAUUCUGUUCAAAACCAUUUCAAAAAACCAUUUCAAAUUCCCUGCUGAAGGUCCAGGCAGACAAUAUUCUAGUAUCUACCAGUCCAAUCUGCAUUUUGUGGGGAACCAAUUAACUAUGAAUAGUGAUCACACAGUAAAAUGUGAAUCUUCAAAGCUGAAAAUAGCUGAUAAGACUGGACCUGCCUCUACAAUGUGCAGACAGCUGCAUUCAGUGUCUAUGAAUUUGUAAUAAGCACUACUAAGAGCUUCAUAUGCUUCAGAUUACACUAAUUUCCUGCACAGAAGUGUCAAGUAUGUAAUAAAUUGCUAAUUAUCAUUGAGAUAAAAUACA